rnacentral:rRNA from 1 species
GCGUUGCUCGGAAUGACUGGGCGUAAAGGACGUGUAGGCGGUUUACACAGUCAGAUGUGAAAUCCCCGGGCUUAACCUGAGAGCUGCAUUUGAGACGUGCAGACUAGAGUGUGAGAGAGGGUUGUGGAAUUCCCAGUGUUGAGGUGAAAUUCGUAGAUAUUGGGAAGAACACCGGUGGCGAAGGCGGCAACCUGGCUCAUUACUGACGCUGAGGCGCGAAAGCGUGGGGAGC